rnacentral:misc_RNA from 1 species
AUUAUCUGCACGUCGUCAACAGCCUAGUCGGCAACAUUACAAUAAUAACGUUGCCACAGGAACAAAAUACUAAAUAUGAAUACAUAUCGAUAAAGCAUAUUGUAUGUUUGCAAUUACAUGAUAUGUAUUUUGAACCACGAAGUAAUUUUUGCUAGAAGUAUUUCAAAGCGUGUGUAUACACUCGUUAUCUUGUUCCGCUCUACUCUAAUUUCCGGCCUCGCUUGUAACUACAUCUAGCGACAUUACUCAAUAGGUCGUUUGGAAACGGGUAUGUCGAGACGAAAUGGACUCUGCUGUGCUUCAAGAAACGCUUAAAAGAUUGGAUCGACUUGAGCAAAUCUUAGAGAAGGUUGAGAAUAACACCAGGGCUGCUCCACAGGAGAUAUGGCACGUUCAGCGAGAAGACAAGGUGAAUAUCUCAGUACGGAUUAACAUUCAGACUGUUGGUGACAUAGAUAAUGUGAAUCAGCAGUUUUAUUUGUACUUUAUUUUGUUCUUGGAAUGGAGGGAACCGCGUUUGAAGGGAAUGAGUCGAGAGGAUGUCGUGUGGAAUGAACAAUGGGAUCCAAGGAUUAAUUUCAAAAAUCAACUGACCGUGGAGAGACUGGAAAAGAAACAUAAAUUGAAAUAUGAACCCAGAAGAUAACAUCCCAAAAGUGAACCUGUCGAUUUAUGUCGCUGGGACUUUCAAGGAAAUCUUCGAGUUGGAUGAUUUUUCAUUUGAUUACCAGAACUUGACAAUACAGUUGGACUCAGACUGGCCAGAAUCUAUUCUGUCGCUAGAAAAAAGUAAUGAAAUGAAAGAUAGUGUUGUGUUACGGACAUUCGCAGAUUGUCACGAAUGGACGCGCUCUGUUCUCAUGCGGUGGCUGGUAGAGUUGAAUCAAACCAACACCAUGCCGGCUCGCACAAGAGAUACCCACAUUAUUCAAUCACGUGCCAUGUCAAGAGAAAACCUAACUUCUACACGUGGAAUGUUGCGCUAAUUGUGAGCCUUAUCAUGGCACUGACGUUUUGUUCCUUCGCUGUUGACAUCACUUCACCGGAAGAAAGACUUGGUGUAACUUUAACUUUGCUUCUAACAUCGGUCGCAUUCAAGUUUGUUGUAGCCCAGAGUCUUCCUAAUGUCAGCUAUUUAACAUACUUGGAUCAAUAUGUGAUAAGCUGUAUGGUAAUCCAGUGUGUUAUAGCCAUUCUUAACACCAUUGGAGGAAAGGUCUCGGCGGAAAAUCAAGACAAAUUCGAUACAGUUUCUUUGUGUAUUCUCGGAGGAAUUGUUGUUAUCCUUCAUCUUAUUUUUACAGUCCUGCUCACGAUAAAGGUAAAAAUGGUUAGGAAAAUAAAUACGUUCUUGAAUGGAGUGACAAAAGAAUAUGAUAGAUUAGCUGCAGAAUAUGAUGAAAAAUAUCAACAGAAAAAGUCUUUGAAAUCGCAGAAUAAACAGAAAACUGAAGAAAAUGCUCAAGAGGAUGUGUCAAAAAACGCUCUUCAAAAUAGGAAAAAGGACAAGAAAAUGAGCCUGGUGGAGGAUUUUUACCAAGGCAAUGAUCUCUCAAACCAAUUUCAUUAUUCUCUGCAGGUGGAUCCAUAGUCUAUCUUUGCGUUCUCUUCUGUUAAACAUUCCUCUGAAUUCAAGGCACAUUGCAUACAAUGAAGUUUCGUCGCCGCAGGACGUAAUUUUGCAAUUUUCC